rnacentral:rRNA from 1 species
AGAGUUUGAUCCUGGCUCAGGAUGAACGCUAGCUACAGGCUUAACACAUGCAAGUCGAGGGGCAGCAUGAACUUAGCUUGCUAAGUUUGAUGGCGACCGGCGCACGGGUGAGUAACACGUAUCCAACCUUCCGUUUACUCAGGGAUAGCCUUUCGAAAGAAAGAUUAAUACCUGAUAGUAUGGUGAGAUUGCAUGAUAACACCAUUAAAGAUUUAUUGGUAAACGAUGGGGAUGCGUUCCAUUAGGUAGUAGGCGGGGUAACGGCCCACCUAGCCUGCGAUGGAUAGGGGUUCUGAGAGGAAGGUCCCCCACAUUGGAACUGAGACACGGUCCAAACUCCUACGGGAGGCAGCAGUGAGGAAUAUUGGUCAAUGGACGAGAGUCUGAACCAGCCAAGUAGCGUGAAGGAUGAAGGUCCUACGGAUUGUAAACUUCUUUUAUAAGGGAAUAAACCCUCCCACGUGUGGGAGCUUGUAUGUACCUUAUGAAUAAGCAUCGGCUAACUCCGUGCCAGCAGCCGCGGUAAUACGGAGGAUGCGAGCGUUAUCCGGAUUUAUUGGGUUUAAAGGGAGCGCAGACGGGAGAUUAAGUCAGUUGUGAAAGUUUGCGGCUCAACCGUAAAAUUGCAGUUGAUACUGGUUUCCUUGAGUGCAGUUGAGGCAGGCGGAAUUCGUGGUGUAGCGGUGAAAUGCUUAGAUAUCACGAAGAACCCCGAUUGCGAAGGCAGCUUGCUAAACUGUAACUGACGUUCAUGCUCGAAAGUGUGGGUAUCAAACAGGAUUAGAUACCCUGGUAGUCCACACGGUAAACGAUGGAUACUCGCUGUUGGCGAUAUACUGUCAGCGGCUUAGCGAAAGCGUUAAGUAUCCCACCUGGGGAGUACGCCGGCAACGGUGAAACUCAAAGGAAUUGACGGGGGCCCGCACAAGCGGAGGAACAUGU